UAACCAUGAUGAGGACAAGUAUUUAAAAGAUCUUUGAACCUUUCUCAACUUUGAUAAAAAAGUUUCAAGAUCUUUUUGGGUAAAGUUCAUGAUUUUUCUUUUAAGUGC